CCUACGGGAGGCUGCAGUGAGGAAUAUUGGGCAAUGGGCGGAAGCCUGAACCAGCCAAGCAGCGUGCAGGAUGACGGCCCUACGGGUUGUAAACUGCUUUUAUACGGGAAUAAAGCGCCUUACUUGUAGGGCUUUGCAUGUACCGUAUGAAUAAGGCCCGGCUAAUUCCGUGCCAUCAGCCGCGGUAAUUCGGAAGGUCCGGGCGUUAUCCGGAUUUAUUGGGUUUAAAGGGAGCGUAGGCCGCAUGUCAAGCGUGCUGUGAAAUGUCCGGGCUCAACCCGGGCCUUGCGGCGCGAACUGGCGUGCUUGAGUCAGCGGAAAGCAGGCGGAAUUCGUCGUGUAGCGGUGAAAUGCUUAGAU
rnacentral:rRNA from 1 species